UCUUGCAAAUCCUUCUGCACCUUUUCCUAGCCCUUCAUAUCCUUUUCCUAACCUUCGUCUCCCUGAGAUUUACUGUAUGCCACAAUCACACUCUCUUUCACUGCCAUACACAUAAACACUCCCUUACACACCGUCAAGCACACUGUCAGUGUGAAUAUGAUAAUGAUGGUGAAAAGUGUAUUAUGUGAUCAAUGUGCAAAUGAAAACUUGAACUCCUCUCUAAACCACUUUAGAAGAAACAUCUCUAUAUUUAGCCCUGUG